AGAGUUUGAUCAUGGCUCAGAUUGAACGCUGGCGGUAGGCUUAACACAUGCAAGUCGUGCGAGAAAGUAUCUUCGGAUAUGAGUAGAGCGGCGGACGGGUGAGUAACGCGUAGGAAUCUACCUAGUAGAAGGGGAUAGCCCGGGGAAACCCGGAUUAAUACCGUAUACCUCCUUCGGGAGAAAGAAGGCCUCUCUUUGAAGCUUUCGCUACUAGAUGAGCCUGCGUAAGAUUAGCUUGUUGGUGAGGUAAAGGCUCACCAAGGCGACGAUCUUUAGCUGGUCUGAGAGGACGAUCAGCCACAUUGGGACUGAGACACGGCCCAGACUCCUACGGGAGGCAGCAGUGGGGAAUAUUGGACAAUGGGCGCAAGCCUGAUCCAGCCAUACCGCGUGUGUGAAGAAGGCCUUCGGGUUGUAAAGCACUUUAAGCAGGGAGAAAAAGUUAUAAGUUAAUACCUUAUAACCCUGAUGUUACCUGCAGAAUAAGCACCGGCUAAUUCCGUGCCAGCAGCCGCGGUAAUACGGAAGGUGCAAGCGUUAAUCGGAAUUACUGGGCGUAAAGCGCGCGUAGGUGGUUUGUUAAGUUGGAUGUGAAAGCCCUGGGCUCAACCUAGGAACUGCAUCCAAAACUAACUCACUAGAGUACGAUAGAGGGAGGUAGAAUUCAUAGUGUAGCGGUGGAAUGCGUAGAUAUUAUGAAGAAUACCAGUGGCGAAGGCGGCCUCCUGGAUCUGUACUGACACUGAAGUGCGAAAGCG
rnacentral:rRNA from 1 species